rnacentral:lncRNA from 1 species
AAUUCAAAUUCAAUUUGGUUUUCAAAUUUUGAUAUCAUUUGAAUUCAAAUACAAUGUUUCAAUUUUAUUAGUACUAAUACAAAUAUAAAUACAAAAUCAUGACAUUCAACUCUAUUCGAUUGGAUCACCCUUAAUCCCAGCCACUCGCUUCACCUACAUUCUAAUUUCUAAGCAAAUAGCUAAACUUUGAUUUAAGAAAACAAACAGCAAUACACGAUCAAGCCUGCAGAAAAGCAGUCCAGGAAAUGGCUAUUCCUACAGAGGGUUUUGCAUGAUGCAGAUACUAGAAAAACAGCCAACCUCUCCCGGCCCGAGAUCCAAAUCGAGGCUCUAUUUCAUUCGUACCAUUGGAUGUCAAUCGAGGCUUUUAUCCACCGUUGAGGAGCAAAUGGCUAGCUUGCUGCAAUCUUGAAACCUGAGAAGACUAAAGAGCUUCGUUGCUAGUGAGUAGUGAUUCAAUGGCGCCAUUCAAAGAAUCCGAAUGAGGAAGCCAAUUAUACUUGCGAUUGUUACAAAGCAGGCACCUCCGCACAUAUCCUAUCAACAAAACAAGACUUGAUUAACCGAAUGAAGAAUGACUAGAUGAUUGACUGUAUAAUCUCCUUCUAUAAUCUAAGGGUGUGCUUGCUUUUCAUCUAUACUAAUAGAAAA